GCUGAAGCUCUUGGAAGUACAGUACUAGAAAUGGUUAUAUCAAGCAUUCUAGUUCACAGUGAUGUCAAGUUUGGACCUGCCUUCAACACACAAGCCUUGACUGUAAUUAAGAUGGCAUAGAACCAGGAUUUACAGGAGCCUACUGCAGUACAUAAGGGCCCCUCCUGCCACUUCACAUACCUGCAACUGUGGGAAAGAACAUACCCAACAGCACAUCAUUUAAAUAACUGAAUGCAACAAUACUGAAAGGCAGCAGCAGAAAGAAGCCCAGGUGUACAGAAAAGCACA